AACGAACGCUGGCGGCAUGCCUAACACAUGCAAGUCGAACGAGAUCUUCGGGUCUAGUGGCGCACGGGUGCGUAACGCGUGGGAAUCUGCCCUUUGGUUCGGAAUAACAGUUGGAAACGACUGCUAAUACCGGAUGAUGACGAAAGUCCAAAGAUUUAUCGCCAGAGGAUGAGCCCGCGUAGGAUUAGCUAGUUGGUGUGGUAAAGGCGCACCAAGGCGACGAUCCUUAGCUGGUCUGAGUGGAUGAUCAGCCACACUGGGACUGAGACACGGCCCAGACUCCUACGGGAGGCAGCAGUGGGGAAUAUUGGACAAUGGGCGAAAGCCUGAUCCAGCAAUGCCGCGUGAGUGAUGAAGGCCUUAGGGUUGUAAAGCUCUUUUACCCGGGAUGAUAAUGACAGUACCGGGAGAAUAAGCUCCGGCUAACUCCGUGCCAGCAGCAGCCGCAG
rnacentral:rRNA from 1 species